CAGUAAAGGAUUUAUGAACAGAGAACUGUCCUGUCCAGAAGUAUAACCAAGUGGGAGUUUGGGGAACGAGAAGCCUGAGUGCCAUCUGUCUGCCAGCUCUCUUCAGCCCACAAUUCUUUAUCAGGGUUUUCCAUUGUGUUUCUGGCUUCAUCUGUUGGCCUAACCCCAUUUCAUUUCAAAUGCCACCCUCAUUAUUGUGAUCUGCAUACAAGGGUAACUGUUCUGGUCCAGGCGUCCAUGCUUGUUAUUCUAACUAACACAGAUGGUGUGUGGGCAGGGACUAGGGAUUUAUAAGCUACAAAAGACCAGCUACAUCUUCUCUACCAGAGAUUUUCAAUAGAACUUUUUGUGAUGACAGAAAUAGUUUCUAAUCUGCCAUUAAUGUGGUAAUCAUGCCACAUGUGGCCCUUGAAAUCUGACUAGUGGAACUGAGAAGGAACAGAGAAUCUGAGAGGACAAGAACUCACCUAAGGGCAGACACAUCUGAAGAAGUGGACUGAAUCUAAAACAGGAUCAGGGCUCUGCCAGCACUUAAGCUGACAUCAAGAAGGGCUGACUGAGAAGACAGAAAGAACUUGGAGUCGUUUUUGUCACUCUUGGAUCAGCCUUCAGGUAUGGACUGAAGCUGGUGAUUUGCCUUCCAAUGAAAAGAGAGAAUAGAAAUGGGGAAGUCAUAACUGCACAGGAGAGAAAUUGGCCUGACUCUUUAUGGACUAAUGAGAGUUACCAUCUUCAUCAUAAGUCACGUCAAGUGACUUAUCAUGGAGGAGUAUUCCCUGUGCCUUUAUAUGUUUCUUGUCAAAAAUUGCAAAGUUCUAAAUUAAUCAUGGAAAAAUUCUUAGAAAAAACCAAAUUGAAGU
rnacentral:lncRNA from 1 species